rnacentral:lncRNA from 10 species
ACUCCCUCCGGGGCACCCCGGUCCCUGCAGAGUCCCUGGCCGGCGCCGCCUCCGCUGCGGCCCCCUGAAUCCCGAGCCUGCCUCGCCCAAGCUGGUAGGACAGAAGGACAGACAGAUUCCUCUAGCCUAGCGCUCCGCCGCUGCUGCCUUACGCGGCCCCGCGUCGGGAGAACUGGGAUCGCCCCAAGAGCACCGCGAGGGGUCAUCUCAGGCUGGCUGCAUGCCUCAGCUGAAGAUCCCAGCUCCUGUCAAUGCCACCUCUCUGCUUGACUGUCUCCUUCCAGAUUCGAGCAGGUAUGAGCUGGGAAGAAUGAAGGCAGGGCAUGCCCGUGUGCCAGCUCUGCACAGCUGGAUAGCUGAGGAAAGAUGUGGAGGAGAAGCCGGGGAUUGUGUGGAAGUCUAAGGGUGUUGUUUGCCCUUUGGGUUCCAGAAGAUGCAUGCCAGGACCCUGGGUGGCACUGCCAGGAAGCAACAGAGAGGAGAUAAAACUCACAGCAGACAGACUUGCCUUAACAACAACUCCCUUGAAUUAAAACACGCUUUUCAAGAAAACAAAUUAUCAGUUCGAUCAGCAAACAGCAGAGAAGUUUCUCUCAUAAUGGCAAAGAAGGGCCGGGUUGCUGACCAGUGAAAGAGCUUCAGAAAAGGAGAGGGGAGAUGAGAUGGCCAGAAGGAGCAAGAGCACCGUACAUCCCUGGACAACCUCAUUCUAAUGG